rnacentral:misc_RNA from 1 species
GCAAACUUGGUCAUUUAGAGGAAGUAAAAGUCGUAACAAGGUCUCCGUUGGUGAACCAGCGGAGGGAUCAUUACUGAGUUUAACAACUCCCAAACCUUUGUGAACAUACCACUGUUGCUUCGGCGGUCGCACCAGGUGUCUCCCGGCAUCUGGAUACCCGCGGCCGCCGAGGGUAUCAAACUCUUGUCUUUACAGCGGACUUCUGAGUACAAAACAAAAAUAAAUCAAAACUUUCAGCAACGGAUCUCUUGGCUCUGGCAUCGAUGAAGAACGCAGC